rnacentral:piRNA from 1 species
UUGAAUUAUGUGUUUAUUUCAGACAUCAAG